rnacentral:lncRNA from 1 species
AUAGGCCUGGCUUUUUAGCUUUUUGAAACUGUUAACAUAGAUUUAAGUGCAACAGAGGAGGCAUGAAGCCAUGAAUGUUUUACUGGAAUGCUCUGGAUCAUCUCUCAGCAGGAUAAAACAUAUGAUUUCCCAGGUCAAGAAUGUAGAUGAGUUAUAGGAAAUUGACUUUGUAAAGCAUUAAAGGUUAG